UGUGAGGCAUGUCAGCAGUUGCCGACGUUUGUAUGCUGUGUUGCAACUUUGACUUUGGUGGGCCAAGGUAGCCAAAGCGUUGUACAGGUAGCGGACCUUGCUAUCCAAGGCUUCCUCCUGUAGGCCGUCUAGCAUUGCGCGCCAUCAGCAACAUCAUUAGGGCGAUAUGGUUUUUAGAUCUUGGAGCAAGUGGAAAUUCGUGGAGACUCAGCAAUACAAACGCACUUAACCUUGUCAGCAACAGAAAUUGAACGAUAAGCCAGUUGUUUCAUUCGUCAUGUAGAUUGUCUGACCACCGACUUACCAAACGGGACGCCAUAAGCCUCUGGAACAAGGAGCUGUUCAUCUGGAAAAAGAUACUCAGUGGCAUGGGACGGCUCCCUGUAAGAUGUUCAACGGUGUGUUGCUGGUCAUGAUAGCUGUCAACCACCUCAGCCUCAUCGGCGGUUCUCCGCGGCCGCGAGAGCUGUUCUCCUGCGAGGCUCGUGCCGUCGAGAACCCGUGUGAGAACGGCGGGGCUUGCCGCGUGCACGUGUCGGCCAGCCGCGCCGGCCCGCCAGUCGUCACAUGCCGGUGCCCCCCGGCGUGGACGGGGGCCAC